CGGGCUGAGUCGCCGGGGCCUGGAGGGGGAACCGCGCGCUGCGGCUGCUGCGCUUGCUCCGUCCCCGGACGCCGCUGGCUUGCUUCCCUUGUCAGCUGUGUGGGGACUGGCAGAGGGUGUGAGAGCGGGAAACGACCGGACGAGCGGCGGGGAGCGUCCUGGGUGAGGAGGAGGAAGUCUGGUCUUAGGUGUGAAGGAUGCUGACGCGUUCCGGCGCGUCGCGGUGCCACUCUCGGCUUCUGAGCGUUGCCCUACGCCGCAGCGGGUUUUCCUCAGCUGUGAAGCGCGGCUGCGUCCUGCCCGGGCUUCCCCCCGCCGGGACGGUUCCAACGCCCGAGCCCAGCGGGCUUGGGCCUCCGCUGUCGGGCCAGGCUAGUUGCUCCGGGGCUGGGAGUUACGGCACCGGGGUUGGGGCGGAGAAGACGAACUAGUUCAACUCGACCCGGUUAAGCAAGCGCAGCAGUGUGUGUUCUUGGAUCAUAGUAUUUCAUGUAAACAUUUUGAUUUAAGAGAAACAAAAGGGAAAAUAUUAACCGUUUUCAAGCAUCCAAAGGCGAAAUGCUUCAUCUCUGGGAUGGAGUAGAGGAGUAGCCUCUGCGGUUGAGUUGCAGUCGUGGGUGCAAGAAGCAGCGCUGAAGCAGAGUGCAGCCCCGGAAUAGGGCGGGAUGGAAUGGCCUGGGCAGUUCAGAAACCCGCGAGGAGUCCAGGGCGGAACAGGUAGGGAGCAGGGGAUUGUAUUGAAAGAUGAAACUGAAAGAGGGGUAGUGGAGACCAGAUCAUGAAAAGCCAUAUUAGGCUAACUGUGGCGCUUAUGCUUAAUCCUCAUUGACAGAUCUUGAGAUCAUUUUGAAAAAUCACUUUGUCUUCAGUUUGGUAAAAGUUUGGAGAAGGGCAGGACUUGGAAGACCAGCUUAGGGAGACUAAAUAGUAGUGACCUCCAAGGGAGAAACUGGACAGAAAGAAUAUUUAUAUUUAGUGCCACAGAACUCCGGGGGUAUUGUUUUCUCCUUUAAUUUUACUUGAAAAAGUAAUAAAUGCACAUACUAAAAAAUUCAGAGUGUACAAAAGAAUAUACAAAGACUAUUAAGGUGUGGGAUUGAGGAGGGUUGAACAGGAUCCCCCAAAAUUCACGUCCACCUAGACCCUCACGAUAUUAACUUACUUGGAAAUAGGGUUUUUGCAGAUGUAAUUGGUUAAGAUGAGGUCAUACUGGUAUAGAAUGAGCCCUAAAUCGAAUGGUUGGCGCCCUUAGAAGGGGACACAUAGAUAAAUGUGCACAGAGGGAAGAAGGCCAUUUGGAGAUAGAAGCAGGGAUUGGAGUGAUGCAACUGGAAGCCAAGAAACGCCGCAGAAUGCCAGGAGCCAGCAGAAGCUAAGAAAAGGCAAAGAAGGAUUAUUCCAAAGUGCCUUCCGAAGAAGGUUGGCCCUGCCAAAAACCUGAUUUCAGACUUCUAGCCCCCAAAACUGCAAGAGAAUAAAUUUUGUUGUUUCAAGACA
rnacentral:lncRNA from 1 species